rnacentral:ncRNA from 1 species
UCUUAUCAAGAGCGACGGAGGGAAAGGCCCUGUGAUGUCCGGCAACCUGAUGAAAAUUAAGGUGCUAAUUCCUUCGGUGAAAUGAGCUUCUAAAGACUCCGCCGAAAGAUAAG